ensembl:snRNA U4 U4 spliceosomal RNA
AGCUUUGCACAGUGGCAGUACUGUAGCCAAUGAGGUUUAUCCGAGGCACAAGUACUGCUAAUUAAAAGUGACUGCCGGGCGUGGUAGUGCAUGCCUGUAAUCCCAGCACUCGGGAGGUUGAGGCAGGAGGAUCACUGUGAG